UGGGGAAUAUUGCACAAUGGGCGAAAGCCUGAUGCAGCGACGCCGCGUGAGGGAUGACGGCCUUCGGGUUGUAAACCUCUUUCAGCAGGGACGAAGCGCAAGUGACGGUACCUGCAGAAGAAGCACCGGCUAACUACGUGCCAGCAGCCGCGGUAAUACGUAGGGUGCAAGCGUUGUCCGGAAUUACUGGGCGUAAAGAGUUCGUAGGCGGUUUGUCGCGUCGUUUGUGAAAACCAGCAGCUCAACUGCUGGCUUGCAGGCGAUACGGGCAGACUUGAGUACUGCAGGGGAGACUGGAAUUCCUGGUGUGGCGGUGAGAUGCGCAGAUAUCAGGAGGAACACCGGUGGCGAAGGCGGGUCUCUGGGCAGUAACUGACGCUGAGGAACGAAAGCGUGGGUAGCGAACAGG
rnacentral:rRNA from 1 species